ensembl:lncRNA
GACAGUGCAGGAGGGGCUGGGACUGGACAGGAUGGAGUGAUGGAGCGGUACCACCAAGCAGCUGUUCCACCCCCCAGUCCUGCUAUACGUGGACUGUGGCCGCUGCGUGAGUGAGGGGGCGAAUAAGCUGCAGACCAGGUACACCUGGCACUUCAUGAGGAGGCUGGCUGUCGGCAGAACCACCACCAAUGCUCUACCACACCUUCAUGGGCUGCCUGUCUGCAUGCCCCUUUGAGUGGGAUGCAGGGGACCUCGCUCUGUUGCGGCAGAUGACGAGGGAGCAGCUCAGGCAGGAAGGGGUGCUAGCCCUUACUGAUCUUCUGGUGGACAGGAGAAUAAGUAGGAGGGAGUUGAGCCAGUACUGCUGCAGGAGGACAUGCGGCGUGGAGGCCGCCAUCAGCCUUAUUGAGCGGCUGCUGCAGGAACUGGUGGGUGGGGGACCUGACUGCUGCUGCCUCCAUGCUGCACACAGGUGUCCCAGCCUCUCCUGAUGAGCCUGGGUUAUGUAAAUUCAUACUUGUGUGUAAAGAAGUAAAAUCACUGUAUCUGCUUUUUGUCCCACAUCUGUUUACUAAAUUUGUCACUCAUCAGUUUUUAUGUUUUUUUUUCUUUCUCAGGCUGUGGAUGACUCUGGGGUGCCAGGCAUGGACCGAGUUGACAGCAUGGCAGAGUAUCUGGUGGAGCUGAGGCACCAGCUCUCUCUGGCCCUCACCAACCAGCAGAUGGGAUCUCAUCCUGAAUGACUACAGGAGGAUCAGGCGGCACAUUCUAGACAAUGGGGCUGUUAUGCAGCAGACCACCCUGCAGCUGGUAGACGUGAGCCACACCACCCAACCUGGUACAGUGGCACAACAAGAGGGUGUAGAGGCAGGGCAACGUGGUGGUGCAAGGACUGGACUUGCCAAGCCACUUGUCUGUGCGACUGACCCUCUCCUCCCUGCUAAUGUGUGCCCAUCAUCUGCACCCCCCCCCCCCAACCAGGCCCAAUUCACCAGUACCCCCGGGCUGGCAGCACCGUGGGCCAGGCACAGGUGAAGAGGAAGGUAUCGUCCGCCGUCGCACCAGCGGCUGUGAACUCGUGCCCCCAGCGAGAACUCUUCCCUGCUCCACCCUCGGGCCCUCAGCUGUUCAUGCUGGGUCCAGUGACCUCACAGGGGCAUGUGCUGGGUGCUGCUCCACAGGCUCUGGGUGCCAGCCUCUCCUCUGCCAUUCCUGCUCCAGUCCGAAAACGGACCUGCAGUGUUCUGCGCAACACGUGCAAGAAAUGCGGGCAGUUCAGGACAGCGGAGACUGGACACAGCCAGUACAAGGGCAUUAUAUACUGCCCCUCUGUAGAGGCUGUACCCAAGGAGCAGUGGUUGGAG